rnacentral:rRNA from 1 species
UACGGGGGGGGCAAGCGUUGUUCGGAAUUACUGGGCGUAAAGGGCGCGUAGGCGGUUUGCUAAGUUGAAUGUGAAAACUCUGGGCUUAACCCAGAGCCUGCAUUCAAUACUGGCAGGCUAGAGUUCUGGAGGGGAUAGCGGAAUUCCUGGUGUAGCGGUGAAAUGCGUAGAUAUCAGGAGGAACACCGGUGGCGAAGGCGGAUCUCUGGGCCUUACCUGACGCUCAGGCGCGAAAGCUAGGGGAGCGAACAGG